rnacentral:rRNA from 1 species
GGAAGCCUGAUGCAGCAACGCCGCUUGAGGGAUGACGGCCUUCGGGUUGUAAACCUCUUUUAGCAAGGAAGAAGCGAAAGUGACGGUACUUGCAGAAAAAGCGCCGGCUAACUACGUGCCAGCAGCCGCGGUAAUACGUAGGGCGCAAGCGUUAUCCGGAAUUAUUGGGCGUAAAGAGCUCGUAGGCGGUUUGUCGCGUCUGCUGUGAAAUCCCGAGGCUCAAUUUCGGGCUUGCAGUGGGUACGGGCAGACUAGAGUGCGGUAGGGGAGAUUGGAAUUCCUGGUGUAGCGGUGGAAUGCGCAGAUAUCAGGAGGAACACCGAUGGCGAAGGCAGAUCUCUGGGCCGUAACUGACGCUGAGGAGCGAAAGGGUGGGGAGCAAACAGGCUUAGAUACCCUGGUAGUCCACCCCGUAAACGUUGGGAACUAGUUGUGGGGGCCAUUCCACGGUCUCCGUGACGCAGCUAACGCAUUAAGUUCCCCGCCUGGGGAGUACGGCCGCAAGGCUAAAACUCAAAGGAAUUGACGGGGACCCGCACAAGCGGCGGAGCAUGCGGAUUAAUUCGAUGCAACGCGAAGAACCUUACCAAGGCUUGACAUACACCAGAACACCGUAGAAAUACGGGACUCUUUGGACACUGGUGAACAGGUGGUGCAUGGUUGUCGUCAGCUCGUGUCGUGAGAUGUUGGGUUAAGUCCCGCAACGAGCGCAACCCUCGUUCUAUGUUGCCAGCACGUUAUGGUGGGAACUCAUGGGAUACUGCCGGGGUCAACUCGGAGGAAGGUGGGGAUGACGUCAAAUCAUCAUGCCCCUUAUGUCUUGGGCUUCACGCAUGCUACAAUGGCCGGUACAAAGGGCUGCAAUACCGUGAGGUGGAGCGAAUCCCAAAAAGCCGGUCCCAGUUCGGAUUGAGGUCUGCAACUCGACCUCAUGAAGUCGGAGUCGCUAGUAAUCGCAGAUCAGCAACGCUGCGGUGAAUACGUUCCCGGGUCUUGUACACACCGCCCGUCAAGUC